GAUCAUUAAAAGCAGAGAAGCUGGGGCUACCUUCAUGAGACAGUCUAUAAAAGCUGAGCUGUUUGGGGAUUCAUUUGUUUCAGUGAAAGACUGAGUUUCAUGGAGAAAACAGAGCGUUUGCUAACAGGAGCCCGGAUUCAGAGUGUCUGCGCAGAGUAAUCUACCAACCAACCCACAAGGAACUGUAAUCUUUAUUCACUAUGCGAAAACUCAAUUUUCCUCUGUUGCAAACUGCAAACCAGGAAGGAGUAUUUUAUAUGUCACGGGAGAAAAAGGGAAGACCGAAAAUAUUUUAAAGGUCAGCAUUAACUGAAAUUUAAGAAAAACAUGGAAGAUGGAAUUUAUAUUCUGUCACAUCUAAGUGGCUUCUCAAACCAAAGGAACAUUAAUGAUUAAUUACUUUCACUUUUAAGUCUUUUACAUUAUUAUACAGAUCAGACAUUUUGUUUCAAAAGGAUUUUACAUGUAAAGCAAUCAUUGAAAGAAAAAGUUUUUAUCAAACCUAUAUCCUGGAGCUAACAAACGAGGUAUCAGAGGCAAGAAGCAAGAAACCAAGAAGAAUUUACGUGGAUAAUAACAGAAGCUCAGGUCAUAGAUUGAGUAUAUCACCUGGGAAAGAAAAAGCUUCACGGAGAGAAUGAGUUGGAAAUAAAUACUUUGAAGUCAACCUAUUCCCAGUUUCAGAGACUACAGCAAACAGAAGCCAGGGGGAAGUGAGGCCUGCUUAUAGGCAUAAGUCAGCAACUUUGUGGCAAAAGAUGAGGAAUAAACCAAUGAAUGAACGGAAGACUUCCAUGCUGAAAAUUACUGAAAAUGUGUAAGAAAAAAUCAGAGUUAAAAACUUUUACUUAGAGUCAUGACAUCUUAGUUGAGUCAGACAUUAUAUAUUGUUUUGGAAAUCAAUUUGCUAUAGAAUAUAUAAGUAGUCAGAUUUAAAUUUGAAAUAGGCACAUAUAUUAUAACAAUGGAAUAUUUAUAUCUCUAGCAUACAGAUUAUAUAAAAUCAUGACACUAGACACAUAUAGUCACAGAAAAAUCCAUUCUUUAAAUAACGGUAUUUGACAAAAAAAUAUGAAUUUUAUGUCAAGCUAAUGCUUUUAUGUCUCUUCUCAUGUUCUAAGGUAACUUUUUUUAAUAAAACAUAAUUGGAUGUCAGUAUGCAUAUGCAUUUUUGAACUUCGUUUUAGGUUAUUAUUUUGUAGAUUUAAUCACUUUUUCAAAUAAAUGUUUUAAUUCACUCCAAAUCGUUAAAGACCAAUCAUUUCACAUUCAAAUUAACCCAGAUGUCAUCAAUUAUAUUGAUUUUAUUAGCUUUAUUAGGUAAUGCAAUUGUGGCUUAUAAAUCAAAGUCUAUUUGAUUUCAGAGGUUAAUGUAGUGAGUACAAACAUCCUAGAUGAAAAUUUCCUAGAGUGUCAUUUAAUGUGCAAUAACUUACAUUGCUGUGUGUACACCUAUGUGAGGGUUAUGUGGUUCCUGUUUUUCCUUUAAAGAAAAGAACGUCAACUGUUUCCAUAUUUGCUCACAAAGAAGAGAAUCUGAACUAACAAUAUUUCUUCAAACUGAUUUUUGAUUAAGAAUAAACUGAGUCCAGCAUGUCAUGAGUCCUGCUGUCUUUAUGUAACUCAAAAUAUCUAAAAUGAUAUAAAGAAAAACAAACCAAAGCUAGACGAUCUAAUCAGGAAAAAGUUGCAGACUAUAGAUAUGUGAAUUCAUACAGUAAUAUUUCAGUUCAUAUUCUCAGCUUCUGUUUGAGAAAAAUUCGGUUCAUGAACGGAAGCAUUCUGCAGCAUUUUGCUUCCAUUCACAAAUUGCAUGUCAGGUGACAAACAUGAAUGUGGUCAGGAAGGCAGCAUCAUCUCCAGAAUCAUGGGAGGAAUUCAGAUUGUGAACUGAGCCACGACUAUACUAUAAUACCUCAUAUAGAAGAUACUAAAAAUUCUACCAGUUUACUCUUAGCUAUGAUAAGCAAAGUUAAAUAAGUGAUAGGAUAAAAAACCACCCCAAAAUAGUCAAUAGCUUUCCUUAUGAA